ensembl:lncRNA
GGGGCGGGGGGGGAGUGCCUGACAAUAGUUUACUCCGGAAACUCCUGUUUGAAUGCUAGGCUACCUAUAUCUGUAGACCCCAGAGGGCAGCCAUUAAAUAAUUAGGCACUUAGGGAUGGAGAAUUGUCUCAAAGACCAAACAACAAGUUACUUAAGACUCUUCUGGCAGACCAGAGGACCUUGAGGAUUGAGGAGACCUCUCGUCCUAUCUUGAAUUGUUCCAAAGGACGGAAGGAGGACUGGAUCCGGGCUCUGGCUUGCCUCAUUGCCCCCAAACACAUUCCCAGAAACGCUCCCCAGGGCCGAACCAAGAACUCAAGUGUCUAACCCACAGCGUCAGCUCUCAGGUUCAAGUUCAAGUCCUCCGGCGUACAUCGGGGCUUCCUUGUCUGCUGUUAAAUUUUAUGUGGAAAUGAAGCCGAAAAUAAUGUCCUGAGAUGUGGAUGAAGAGUGCUGUAACGAAACAUUGUACCAAAACGAAGACUGUGCUGUACGCGCCCCUCAGACAACUACUCUCCUGCAGGCGAGGAUUGUCACCCGGGGGGAGUGUGGCAGGAGUGCCGUCACAGUGGCAGAAGGAGAAGGAGAGAGAAAACGAAACCUGGGAAAUUGCCCGCGCUCACUUUUUCUCCUCCCCGGACCUGAGUUCAAGAGCCUGUCUCGGAGUCGGGCAGUCUCCGGUUGGGAAGGCCCUCGAUCAUGACUUUUUCGUCCCGACCUGUGCAGAUCCCCCACCUCUACCCAUCUCCAGCUGACACGUUUGCUCUGAGAAGGGAUUGGUGAAUAUCGCCCUCUCCCGGAUCUCCGGAAAUUCUCCCCAGCGCGCUGCAUCCGCUUCUUCCCAAGCUCGGAGCGCCGCACACGCAGCGGGGCGGGACCUUCAGCUCAGGGCGACGGUGUCCUCGGUCCCCUCCCCGAGGGCCGAGGCCUCCAGAGCCCCAGAUCCGGGACCCAGGCCCUGAGCCGGAUCUGAGGAGCGCACUGGGCCCGAGCCCCUGCUGGAGCCCGGAGCUCGGCCGGGGAGAGAGCUCAGCCACACGCGCCCCCGGCUAUGGCCCGGACCCCGCUCGGCUCUGCCGCUGAGUCCGCGCGCGGGGGAAAGCCCGCAGACCUUCCAGGACUUGCGGAUUGCCAGCCCCGAAUCCCUAAAGAGCUCGGCCCCGAGAGUCUCCUUGUGGUGUUUGGUGGCCGCCGCGAGCGGGCUUGGCGUCCCCCACGGCAGAGGGGAGGUCGAGGGGGAACUGGUUCCCGGUUCACCCUUCAUCUCCUACCAGUCACCAGCCGAGGCCCUGCCCCGUGCUCGCAUGGAGGCACCGAGAUAGCCCUGGCCCAGCAAAUGGCUCCUGGGUCGUCCUGGCGGGAGCGGGCCCAGGGCGAGGCGCGCAGGUGAGGUGCCAGGCUCGGGGCGCCCAGCCAGCGGCGCUUGGGGGCACCGGCUCGCUCCACCUGGCGUCCGCGCGGCCGGAGUGCCGCUGCGGCAGGCGGGCAGCGGCGGCGCAGCGACGGGCUGUGGCGCCACCUCCCGAGAAGACCUAGCAGGAAGCGCGGCUCCGCAGGUGGCCCGCGGCGCGCGCCUUCCGGGUGGCCGGAGUGCCCCUCGGCCAGCGAUUUGCCCUCUCAACGCCCCGAAACACCUCCAGAAAUGCCUGUGGCAGCAAUUACUACGCCGAUGGUCGCUGUCCUCCCCAAGUGAUGAAAGGGAGGUCCUAGCACCCCAGGAAGAUCUUGUGCCCCUGCCUGGGGAAGGCGAAAAGGCUGCAGCGGCCCUGGGACGCGAUGGCCUUGUGUCGGCUAUCAAGGGAUCUCGGACCCCCCUCACGUACGUGAAAACCGGUCCCCAAGAGUCCAGCAAGGAGAAGUAGGAGGAGGUGACUGGAGGGGAGAGGUGUUUGUGGCCCCCAAGGUAGGCUCCAGGUUGCAGUGGAGUCAAGCCGUCGGCAAGGGAUCCAGCUCUGCUCCUCAGACUCGAGCAGAGCAGCCUGUCUGCGGCCACCUCCACUCCCUCUCCGAGGACGCACCCGGCCACUCUCUGCACCACCGCGGGCGAUAGACAGAUUGUCCCCUCCGUUCCUGCCAACCAGGUCUCUAGACUUGACUACUUAUGUUGAGAAUGGAUAAAAAGAUGGAGAUAUUGGAGAUCGGGGUUACCGUCCAUACUGUGGAUGAACGUCCUGUCAGAGUCUUUCCUGGAUCUAGCUGCAAGAGCCUGGCUCAGGAUACACCUGAACUGUGCCCCUCACCACCCAGACCACAUCUCCCCGGACUUACUAUGUGUUGCUGCUUCCAGCUAUGUGACUUUACUCACACUAAUUCCCAGAAGACCAAGCAUUCGUACGGAUAACAUGAAAGCUUAAAAUAAAGCAGCACAGAGACAGCUGUGGUCCAGCUGCCCGCCCUGUCGGUGGCAAUCGCCUCCCUGGUCAGGUUCAUCUCUGAACACCUGGUUGGGACAUGAGUGCAUCCUCCUAGGACCCAGAAGUCACUGAGCAGAAGUGCAGCAACGUGGCAAAACCAACAGAGCUGAAGCGGCACAGAACAUUCCUGGACAGGUCUGCGAGGGUGGGGCAGCCAGGAAGUGACAGCAUGAAGCCAAGCACACUGGGCUCCUCUCCAGAGAUAUAUGGCAAAGGCAAAUGCAUUUGUUUCCAAUUCAUCUGGCUCUGUUCUUACACGAUGUUUCACAUGUGCUGAAGAG